AUAAACUAACCUAAAUCCCAUGUUCCCUAAGUGAAAAGUGGGUGAACUAUGUUCACCUGUCUACGCUAUAGCAAAUUCUCUCUUCCCACUAGAGAAGCAAAAUUGUUUUAAUUUUUUGCAGGCUUUUCUUCAGGAAUCAUCACUGAGAAGCUGGACUCAACCGGUUCUUUCCUGCCAAAGAGCCCUGUGGAUUCCAUUUACCUCAGACUUUUUUCCCACCUUGCAGCGGGACUCUGUCACGACAGCCUCAAGGCUGUCCUCCCUAGUGGCAGCAAGCUCACACCUGCAGUUCACCACCAAACAGCAAGAAGCUCCAACAGCACCAGAAGCAGGGAGAAGAGGAGCACCAUCCUACUUACCAUCCAGUCAUAGUUCUAUCCAUCUGCAAAUUCUCUUUGGUGGUCGUCCUGAACCAGAACAUCAUGGGACUUGGCCAAGGCCUUACAGUUAGGCUACGGGUAGCAGAUCCUGGGCAGCCCUGCACUUGCUGCUACUAGCCCUGUGAAGAGAAAGAAAGGUUAUUUAGGAGUGUUACCUAUGCCCAAGAUGCAAACACAGUUUAUAGCUACUUAUCUAGGAGCGUCCUGAUGCCAUCUGUGGAGUUUAGCAAUUUCCUUUCCCUCUUACUCUAGCAGCUGAGAGUCUCAGCAGCACAAGAAUCGUUGCCUGGAUACUCAAUCUUCUUUCUGCAUUAACUGAUGGAAGCGUAAGCUCAAUUUUGGUAACUUGAUCAUCACGACUUUUGCAUAGAUCUGAAAGUCCCUAGCAAAGGCAAUUUCUUAAGUGACAGUCUAAAUGCAGCAGAUACACAAGAAUUGCUUUACAAUCUAUUCAGAAGGAAUAGCUGUGCUGCUAUGAACAUUU